AACUUUCGGCAAUGGAUCUCUUGGCUCCGGCAUCGAUGAAGAACGCAGCGAAAUGCGAUAAGUAAUGUGAAUUGCAGAAUUCAGUGAAUCAUCGAGUCUUUGAACGCACAUUGCGCCCCCUGGUAUUCCGGGGGGCAUGCCUGUCCGAGCGUCAUUGCUGCCCUCAAGCACGGCUUGUGUGUUGGGCCGCCGUCCCGGGGGGACUUUUCUCCCCCGCGGGACGGGCCCGAAAGGCAGCGGCGGCACCGUGUCCGGUCCUCGAGCGUAUGGGGCUCUGUCACCCGCUCUGGUAGGCCCGGCCGGCGCGCCAGCCCUUCUCAACCAUUUUUGUUCUUUCUCCAGGUUGACCUCGGAUCAGGUAGGGAUACCCGCUGAACUUAAGCAUAUCAAUAAGCGGAGGCU
rnacentral:misc_RNA from 1 species